AUCUUUAUCUACAGUACGUUUUACUUUAGUAUGUGUGAGCUUGACAAUCUGAUAGGUGCGCUGACAGUCCUGAAGAUAGUCAAACGUAUAGAAAAAAGGCAGUUACAAAAAGGUCUUUUCCAACAUCGAUGUAAACAGAUAAAACAGCUAAGGUAUUUGACUCAAAACUGUUCACUGUAUCCUUUAUAGACAUGUUGCAUCUCUUGCAUAUAACUGGCAUUAACAGGUACUUCUUUGAACAGGAAAAAAGGAAUAAAUCGCCAUUGGAACAGACACUGAAGCUGAACUAUGGCAGAGUAUUUAAAUCGAAAAGUCACUCCCACUAAUAGAAUCCAAUUAAAUCAGCUUAUAC